UGGAUGUAGACCUCCACUUCAUUUCAUCAACGAAAAGGAAAUAUCAAGGCUUCCCAUCUCCUAAGUGCGAGCAGCACCAGGAUUAUCAUUCCCAACAGAAAGCUCUGAAUUAAUUUUCCAUGAACCUACCAGACUGCUAACAAUGAAAAAGGCCCACCCAGAACAAGAAGACCAUGGCCUUAGUAAUUUCUGUGCUGGAAUGUUUCUGAGUAUGUGAAAUAGCCAAAAUGGGAUGGCACAUGGAAGAUAUUCCUACCUUAUCCCGAUGAGCCUCUAACUCAACCCUGAGGGCUUAUCAUACCUCUUCCAGCAUGGAAUGUUCUGCACACUGUUGUCCUGAGUAGGACUGCAAGGAAGAAAGGCUCUGAGUGACCAGGAAGAAAAAAGAAGGCAAAAUGUCAAACAGGAUGGUGGCUUUUCAGACCAAG
ensembl:lncRNA